rnacentral:rRNA from 1 species
GGGACUUGCUCCUGAUGUUACGGCGGACGGGUGAGUACACGUGGGUACCUGGCCUGGUAAGAACUGGGGAAUAACUCCGGGAAACCGGGGCUAAUACCGGAAUGGCUUGUUUGAACCGCAUGGGUUCAAACAUAAAAGGGUGGGCUUUCCGGCUUACCACUUUACAGAUGGACCCGCGGCGCAUUAGCUUAGUUGGUGAGGUAACGGCUCACCAAGGCAACGAUGCGUAGCCGACCUGAGAGGGUGAUCGGCCACACUGGGACUGAGACACGGCCCAGACUCCUACGGGAGGCAGCAGUAGGGAAUCUUCCGCAAUGGACGAAAGUCUGACGGACAACGCCGCGUGAGUGAUGAAGGUUUUCGGAACGUAAAGCUCUGUUGUUAGGGAAAAGACAAGUACCGUUCGAAUAGGGCGGUACCUUGACGGUACCUAACCAGAAAGCCACGGCUAACUACGUGCCAGCAGCCGCGAAUACGAGGGCAA